UUCCAUAUGUCCCUGGCCAUCCUCAGCUUCAUGUCUGCUCCAUUUCCUACCAGCACCCUGACUAAAAACCAUUCAGGUCAAAAUUAGGAAAUGACUGUGUGACAUUAGGACCCAGGAGCCCCCAAGGAGCAGAUUAUGGCCAUGACAUCAUAAACACACAAUGUCUCAGGAACAGUGAGGUGAUGCCUAAGAGAAAGCACUGACUCACAGGCAGCAUGACCUGACAGGGUCGAGGGGAAAGCAAGACAGAAUGAACCACCCAUUCAACAUCAGCUGCUACUCAGCCAACUGCAGUGUGGACGCUCCAAGUCUUCCCCUAGCUGGGUAUCCAACUCCUCUCCCAGACUCAGCUUAACCCACACCAUCUCUCACUUCUCCUUCUCAGCUUCCUCAGCUCCUCUCCUUCCCCUGGAUUACUCCUGCCUCAUCAUGAAGUUCAGACAGUGUUUCCUUUGUAAAAUGUCCUCUGGCUGGGCUCAACACUGGCUGGUGUACAUUCCAGUGACCUUCAGGCCUUUAACUUCAACGGAACAGAGAGACACAACCACAUUCACAGCACAGCACAAAGCUGUUCUGGUCUCUGUGCCUGGCAGUGGCUGAGCACCAGCCACAGGCAUCUUGUCGUUGCGUGAGUUCUGCCAUUUGCAAAAGGAAUAGCUCUUAGCAACCUCCAACCAGGGUCUUGUUGACAUAUAAGGAGACGGUCUCUACUGUGCAGACAUUUCUAAUCCUCACAGGAACAACAUCUGUGUUAUACGAUCCAGAAUGUCUUACUGUGAGCAGUUUCUAUGAGGAUCACAUUCACUAUGGAAACCAAAAGCAGCCUCAAGCUUCUGCUCCCUCUGCCCAUCCUCCAGCUGGAAUUGUAUGCAGCCACCGCCACACCCAGGUCAAGUGGUGUCAGGAAUUGAAUCCAAGACUUCAUGCACAGUGGGCAAGAACUCAACUGAGCCACAUCCCUGUCCCUGCUCUCUUCCAGUUAGGUUUAACAAGCAGUCACACUGUGCUACGGGUACUAUUACUACUACUUUUGCUUUACAGGCAAUGGAGCAGGUUUUAAGAAACUGGAACGUCUGCAUCCACAAAAGGGCAGGGCUAGCGCUGGACCCGGGUGAGGGUUGCCAGUCCCUGGACGUUCUUCUAUGCAACCCAGCUUCCCGGCACGAAUGUGGGAGGUGGGAGGAAUGCAAGGUCUUUCCACAUUCCAACACAGCAGAUGGAGCAAGGGAAAACUGAUAGGAUAAUGCUGUCAGUCAUUCUGUCUUCUCUCCCUCCAUCCCGACAGCAGCUUUGUACCCAUGCUGGGAAAUAAGGCCCGGGGCCGACUGCAAAUAUCGAACACACUUAGCAACAGAGAAGACUAGUGAGAUCAAAGUCUGACUUAGAACAAGGUGCUGGGCCCUGAGGAUGACAGAGUCUCCAUCUCUGGCUGGGGGAGAGCAGUGAGAAGGCAGGCAUGAGGGAAUGUGCAUGAACUUGGGCUUCACAGCAAACACAUUACAGUAUUUUUUUCUUCCUUAUUUUCCGUUCCCACUGGAAAAGGCAGUAGACAGCUCCAAGCUACGCACUGCUUGGUCGUCUUCCCUACAGAAAAACUUCCAUUCAAGAUGCAUCUCUGUGCUCUACGCAGAGCACCAGCCCUCCGUUGACAACCCAUAGGCCUGGACAGUGCUUCUCCACCUUCCUAAUGCUGUGACCCUUUAAUUCCUCAUGCUGUAGUAAUCACCAACCAUAAAAUUAUUUCCACUGCUAAUUCAUAACUCUAAUGUUGCUACUACUAGGAAUCGCAAUAUAAAUAUUUUUGGAGACAGUUUUGCCAAAGGGGUUGUAACCCACAGGUUGAGGAUCACCGGGGAGAUAAAGACUAGGUUGCCUGCCUUCAGUGUGGCAACGGCAUUGCCGCUUCGUUUAUAUGGUUAGUUCCAGGCCAGCCAAGGAUACGUAGUGAA